rnacentral:rRNA from 1 species
UCAAGUGACUAAGUGUAUGUGGUGGAUGCCUUGGCGAUCACAGGCGAUGAAGGACGUGACAGCCUGCGAAAAGCUGCGGGGAGUUGGCAAAUAAACUUUGAUCCGCAGAUGUCCGAAUGGGGGAACCCACCUCUUUUGAGGUAUCUCUAGCUGAAUACAUAGGCUAGGGAGGCGAACGGAGUGAACUGAAACAUCUAAGUAACUCCAGGAAAAGAAAUCAACCGAGAUUCCGAAAGUAGCGGCGAGCGAAAUUGGAUCAGCCUAAUGCUCGAUAACAACGGCUAAUACUGGCACAGUCUGGAAAGUCUGGCUAUAGAGGGUGAUAGCCCCGUACAGGAAAUUAGCGUUGUGGUACUAAGUGCAUGAAAAGUAGGGCGGGACACGUGACAUCCUGUCCGAAGAUGGGGGGACCAUCCUCCAAGGCUAAAUACUCGUGAUCGACCGAUAGCGUACCAGUACUGUGAAGGAAAGGUGAAAAGAACCCCGGGAGGGGAGUGAAAUAGAACCUGAAACCGCAUACAUACAAACAGUAGGAGCCUCGUUAAGGGGUGACUGCGUACCUUUUGCAUAAUGGGUCAGCGACUUACGUUUAAUGGCAAGCUUAACCGAUUAGGGGAGGCGUAGCGAAAGCGAGUUCGAAUAGAGCGAUUUGAGUCGUUAGGCGUAGACCCGAAACCAGAUGAUCUAUCCAUGGUCAGGUUGAAGAUGUGGUAACACACAUUGGAGGACCGAACCGACUAGUGUUGCAAAAUUAGCGGAUGAACUGUGGAUAGGGGUGAAAGGCUAAACAAAUCUGGAGAUAGCUGGUUCUCCCCGAAAACUAUUGAGGUAGUGCCUCGUGUAUAACUCCAGGGGGUAGAGCACUGUUAUGGCUAGGGGGACAUGGCGUCUUACCAAACCAUGGCAAACUCCGAAUACUUGGAAGUUGAGCACGGGAGACAGAGCACCGGGUGCUAACGUCCGGACUCAAGAGGGAAACAACCCAGACCGCCGGCUAAGGUCCCUAAUAUUGUCUAAGUGGAAAACGAAGUGGAAAGGCUAAAACAGUCAGGAAGUUGGCUUAGAAGCAGCCAUCCUUUAAAGAAAGCGUAAUAGCUCACUGAUCGAGUCUUUCUGCGCGGAAGAUGUAACGGGGCUAAGACAAUAACCGAAGCCGCGGAUUCACACGUAAGUGUGAGUGGUAGGGGAGCGUUCUGUAAGCCUGCGAAGGUGGCUUGUAAAGGCUGCUGGAGGUAUCAGAAGUGCGAAUGCUGACAUGAGUAACGUUAAAGUGGGUGAAAAGCCCACUCGCCGUAAGCCCAAGGUUUCCUGCUCUACGUUCAUCGGAGCAGGGUGAGUCGGCCCCUAAGGUGAGGCUGAUAAGCGUAACUGAUGGGAACAAGGUUAAUAUUCCUUGACCGCCGUUGAGUGCGAAGGGGGGACGGAGUAUUGAAGAUCAUCCGGGUGUUGGAUAUCCCGGUUUGCGCGCGUAGGAGGCUGAUAGGCAAAUCCGUCAGCGAAUCUCCGAGGCAAAGCAUCGAGACCUUUUAGGUCGAAGUGAUUGGAUGUGCUCCCAGGAAAAGCCUCUAAGCUCCAGCUCAACGGGACCGUACCGCAAACCGACACUGGUGGGCGAGCUGAAUAUGCUCAGGCGCUUGAGAGAACUCAGGAGAAGGAACUCGGCAAAUUGACACCGUAACUUCGGGAUAAGGUGUGCCUUUGUAGUGUGAAGGAAGAAACAUCCGGAGCAUGAAGAGGUCUCAGAGAAUUGGUGGCUGCGACUGUUUACUAAAAACACAGCACUCUGCAAAGACGAAAGUCGACGUAUAGGGUGUGAUGCCUGCCCGGUGCUGGAAGAUUAAUUGAUGGGGUGCAAGCUCCUGAUCGAAGUCCCAGUAAACGGCGGCCGUAACUAUAACGGUCCUAAGGUAGCGAAAUUCCUUGUCGGGU